rnacentral:rRNA from 1 species
CCUACGGGAGGCAGCAGUGAGGAAUAUUGGUCAAUGGACGAGAGUCUGAACCAGCCAAGUAGCGUGAAGGAUGACUGCCCUAUGGGUUGUAAACUUCUUUUAUAUGGGAAUAAAAUGUUCCACGUGUGGGAUUUUGUAUGUACCAUAUGAAUAAGGAUCGGCUAACUCCGUGCCAGCAGCCGCGGUAAUACGGAGGAUCCGAGAGUUAACCGGAUUUAUUGGGUUUAAAGGGAGCGUAGGUGGAUUGUUAAGUCAGUUGUGAAAGUUUGCGGCUCAACCGUAAAAUUGCAGUUGAAACUGGCAGUCGUGAGUACAGUAGAGGUGGGCGGAAUUCGUGGUGUAGCGGUGAAAUGCUUAGAUAUCACGAAGAACUCCGAUUGCGAAGGCAGCUCACUGGACUGCAACUGACACUGAGGCUCGAAAGUGUGGGUAUCAAACAGGAUUAGAUACCCGAGUAGUC